AUAUCAAUAAGCGGAGGAAAAGAAACCAACAGGGAUUGCCCUAGUAACGGCGAGUGAAGCGGCAACAGCUCAAAUUUGAAAUCUGGCCCUCGGGUCCGAGUUGUAAUUUGUAGAGGAUGCUUUUGGCGCGGUGCCUUCCGAGUUCCCUGGAACGGGACGCCUUAGAGGGUGAGAGCCCCGUACGGUUGGACACCAAGCCUCUGUAAAGCUCCUUCGACGAGUCGAGUAGUUUGGGAAUGCUGCUCUAAAUGGGAGGUAAAUUUCUUCUAAAGCUAAAUAUUGGCCAGAGACCGAUAGCGCACAAGUAGAGUGAUCGAAAGAUGAAAAGCACUUUGAAAAGAGGGUUAAAUAGCACGUGAAAUUGUUGAAAGGGAAGCGUUUGCGACCAGACCUUUUCCUAGCGGAUCAUCCGGUGUUCUCACCGGUGCACUUCGCUAGGUCGAGGCCAGCAUCGGUUUUCGUAGGGGGAUAAAAGCCUUGGGAACGUAGCUCCUUCGGGAGUGUUAUAGCCCUUGGCAUAAUACCCUUACGGGGACCGAGGACCGCGCUUUUUUGCAAGGAUGCUGGCGUAAUGGUCGUCAACGACCCGUCUUGAAACACGGACCAAGGAGUCGAACAUUUGUGCGAGUGUUUGGGUGUUAAACCCUCACGCGUAAUGAAAGUGAACGGAGGUGAGAGCCCUUUACGGGUGCAUCAUCGACCGAUCCUGAUGUCUUCGGAUGGAUUUGAGUAAGAGCAUAACUGUUCGGACCCGAAAGAUGGUGAACUAUGCGUGGAUAGGGUGAAGCCAGAGGAAACUCUGGUGGAGGCUCGCAGCGGUUCUGACGUGCAAAUCGAUCGUCAAAUCUGCGCAUGGGGGGCGAAAGACUUAUCGAACCAUCUAGUAGCUGGUUACCGC
rnacentral:rRNA from 1 species